GCCUAAGCUGGAUGCUGACUCGCUUCCCCGCCACCGACACUUUCCAGACGGCGACAAUCAACACUCGACAGCAGGUUUCUCUCGAUAGUGCAUGGUGUAGCAGCAAGUGUCUGGUAGCCAUAUGAAAAAGCAGAAGCAUUUGCCUCGAGUGGAUAUCCAAGGAAGGUGUGGUGCGCAGUGUGGCAGAGUGGCAGUGCGGCUGUGCAGUGUGGCUGACAGACCAACAGAUGCUCCUGGCAUGGCAACCGGCCAAAUCAAUUAUUCCUCUCUCAGCACGAAUUAGUCGCUGCUUCCACUGGCGGAGGUGUGAAAAGGAGUUUAGGAGCAGUGACCUGGACAGCAGUGAGCUCUGCGCCUCCCCAGCCGCCGUCUCUGGCGGGACAGAUGGAGGGGCUCUGGCUCUGGCUCUGG